AUGUUUAUUCUUGUAUUAGAUCAAAUAUUCAUUAUAUUCUGGCUAAAUCAACUGGUAAAACAAGUUGGUUUCUGUAUUGUUUGCGACCAAUUAUUGAUUGGAUUUCCUGAGUGUGCAGUGGUUUCUUCUGUUUGCCCAUUGAAUCUGCUGACAAGAGCUGUGAUAAUUCUAAGUUGGAGGAAGUUAUGGAAGAGGCUACCAAGCUCGAGGAAGCUGCACUUGACGAAGAAUAGAAGCUUGCCAGUGCUGAGAAGCUCGAAUGCACCGAUACGGAUACGGGUAAUCAAAGCCAUCUGGAGGAGAUGA
rnacentral:rRNA from 1 species